CUAAUACUCCCUCCGUCCUAAAAUUCUUGUCUUAAAUUUGUCUAAAAAUGGAUGUAUGUAAAUACUAAAACGUGACUAGAUACAUUCAUAUAUAGACAAAUUUAAGACAAGAAUUUUGAGACGGAGGAAGUAUACA
rnacentral:pre_miRNA from 1 species